rnacentral:rRNA from 1 species
AUAUUGGAACGUACCGAGUAAUGGGGGAUAACUAUCCGAAAGGAUGGCUAAUACCGCAUACGCUUUGAGAAGGAAAGCAGGGGAUCUUCGGACCUUGCGUUAUUCGAGCGGCCAAUAACUGAUUAGCUAGUUGGUGGGGUAAGGGCCCACCAAGGCUACGAUCAGUAGUGGGUCUGAGAGGAUGAUCCGCCACACUGGGACUGAGACACGGCCCAGACUCCUACGGGAGGCAGCAGUGGGGAAUUUUGGACAAUGGGCGAAAGCCUGAUCCAGCCAUGCCGCGUGUCUGAAGAAGGCCUUCGGGUUGUAAAGGACUUUUGUUAGGGAAGAAAAGGUUGAUGCUAAUAUCAUUAACUGAUGACGGUACCUAAAGAAUAAGCACCGGCUAACUACGUGCCAGCAGCCGCGGUAAUACGUAGGGUGCGAGCGUUAAUCGGAAUUACUGGGCGUAAAGCGAGCGCAGACGGUUAGUUAAGCAAGAUGUGAAAUCCCCGAGCUCAACUUGGGAACUGCGUUUUGAACUGGCUAGCUAGAGUGUGUCAGAGGGGGGUAGAAUUCCACGUGUAGCAGUGAAAUGCGUAGAGAUGUGGAGGAAUACCGAUGGCGAAGGCAGCCCCCUGGGGUAACACUGACGUUCAUGCUCGAAAGCGUGGGUAGCAAACAGGAUUAGAUAC